CUAUACUGCAGUCGAGCGGACAGAUGGGAGCUUGCUCCCUGAUGUUAGCGGCGGACGGGUGAGUAACACGUGGGUAACCUGCCUGUAAGACUGGGAUAACUCCGGGAAACCGGGGCUAAUACCGGAUGCUUGUUUGAACCGCAUGGUUCAGACAUAAAAGGUGGCUUCGGCUACCACUUACAGAUGGACCCGCGGCGCAUUAGCUAGUUGGUGAGGUAACGGCUCACCAAGGCGACGAUGCGUAGCCGACCUGAGAGGGUGAUCGGCCACACUGGGACUGAGACACGGCCCAGACUCCUACGGGAGGCAGCAGUAGGGAAUCUUCCGCAAUGGACGAAAGUCUGACGGAGCAACGCCGCGUGAGUGAUGAAGGUUUUCGGAUCGUAAAGCUCUGUUGUUAGGGAAGAACAAGUGCCGUUCAAAUAGGGCGGCACCUUGACGGUACCUAACCAGAAAGCCACGGCUAACUACGUGCCAGCAGCCGCGGUAAUACGUAGGUGGCAAGCGUUGUCCGGAAUUAUUGGGCGUAAAGGGCUCGCAGGCGGUUUCUUAAGUCUGAUGUGAAAGCCCCCGGCUCAACCGGGGAGGGUCAUUGGAAACUGGGGAACUUGAGUGCAGAAGAGGAGAGUGGAAUUCCACGUGUAGCGGUGAAAUGCGUAGAGAUGUGGAGGAACACCAGUGGCGAAGGCGACUCUCUGGUCUGUAACUGACGCUGAGGAGCGAAAGCGUGGGGAGCGAACAGGAUUAGAUACCCUGGUAGUCCACGCCGUAAACGAUGAGUGCUAAGUGUUAGGGGGUUUCCGCCCCUUAGUGCUGCAGCUAACGCAUUAAGCACUCCGCCUGGGGAGUACGGUCGCAAGACUGAAACUCAAAGGAAUUGACGGGGGCCCGCACAAGCGGUGGAGCAUGUGGUUUAAUUCGAAGCAACGCGAAGAACCUUACCAGGUCUUGACAUCCUCUGACAAUCCUAGAGAUAGGACGUCCCCUUCGGGGGCAGAGUGACAGGUGGUGCAUGGUUGUCGUCAGCUCGUGUCGUGAGAUGUUGGGUUAAGUCCCGCAACGAGCGCAACCUUUGAUCUUAGUUGCCAGCAUUCAAGUUGGGCACUCUAAAGGUGACUGCCCGGUGACAAACCCGAAGGAAAGGUGGGGAAUGAAGGUCAAAUCCUCCGUGCCCCUUAUGGACCUGGGGCUAACCACCGUGGCUACCA
rnacentral:rRNA from 1 species